rnacentral:tmRNA from 1 species
CGAUUUGCAUCCGCUUGCCCCCUCACCUAUAUAGGGAGUGCUCGCAAGGGCUAUGGCAAUAAACGGUCAUUGUAAUAAACCCAUCGGACCCGGGGGCAGUACCCGGCGUCUCCACCAUCUCCCCUCCUUUCCAGGGAGGAGCCAAUGGGGACGAAACAGGAUCGACGAGGGCGUAAAGAGUGUGCUUUUGCUCGGUGAGGUACCACCGUUAUCGGUCCGAAACUUAUAGUUGCUAAUGACAACAAUAAGGCUCCGGUCGCUCUCGCCGCGUAAGCGGUGCUAGCACUGGGAAUUUAAGUCCUCCGCCCCUAGCCGGGCGUCAGGCGGGGUUCGCAGGCACCUGGCAACAGAAGCCUGCACU